CUCCCGGAGGGUCCCCCGGCAGCCGGGCCCCGCGCGGCCUCCCCCCCGCCCCACGGGCGACCCGCCGGGGCCCCUCCGACAGCCCCUGCCCUCUGCGCCCCCCCUUCCAAGAAGAGCCCCUUCUCUCCGCGAGACCAGAAGCUAGACUCCAGAAACAUCGACGUUGAACCACGGAGGUAACAGCUGGUAUCCCUCUGCAUUGCUGAUGAACAGAAAAGCCUUUGCACCCCUAAUAGGAUGUGUCUUUUUGUUCUCAAACUGGUAUCCUUCACCGUAAUAGAAAAUUUUUAUCUAUUUCUACCUUAGAGUUUGUAUUGGGAAUGUCUGCUGGGAUUUCUUGGUCUCCAAUACAUUUAUAGGUUUUUUUUUUUCUCCUUUAAUUCUGAUCCUGAGUGCUUCUUCAACAUGCCAGCCUGUGUUUCAUCAUGCAACCUUCACAUUUGCUGUGAAGCACUCCUCCUGGAAUGUUGUUCCCCUGACGUCCACGUGGCUCACUCCCUUGUUUUAUUUAGGUCUUUUGCUCAAAUGUCACUUAAAAGUGUUUCCUUACCAACCAUUAAAGGUGGAAUUAUAUUCA